rnacentral:rRNA from 1 species
UCUCGGCAACGGAUAUCUCGGCUCUCGCAUCGAUGAAGAACGUAGCGAAAUGCGAUACUUGGUGUGAAUUGCAGAAUCCCGUGAACCAUCGAGUCUUUGAACGCAAGUUGCGCCCGAGGCCUUUCGGUUGAGGGCACGCCUGCCUGGGCGUCACGCCUUGUUUC